CUAUUUCUAAUGCUAUAACCAAAAUGAGUGGCUCGGAAGGAAGCAAUUAUAUCAUUGAUGGCACUUUUAGUAGUGUACCAUUUUCUAAACAGUUUAAACAAUUGCUCAUAAUACACUUCAUUCACGCAGACCACGCGUAUCCGUUUAUUUAUGUGCUGAUGUCAUCAAAAUCCGAGGCAGCAUACGUACAUCUACUAAAAUAUAUA